GGGGGGGGGGGGGGGGGGGGGGGGGGGGGGGGGGGGGGGGGAGGGCUGCGGUCGGGGGGGCGGGCGGGGGGGGGGCGCGGGGGGAGGUGGCCUGUGGUGGGGGAUGGCGCUGGGGAACGGGGGGGAAUGCCGGAGGGGACCUGUGGGGGGAAGGUUUGUCGGCGCAGGAUCGGCCCGCGUUGGGUUAGGUAGUUGGGGGGGUGAUUGUCGACCAAGCCGACGGGCCCUAGCUGGGUUGAGAGGAUGAUCAGGCACACUGGGACUGAGACACGGCCCAGACUCCUACGGGAGGCAGCAGUGGGGAAUCUUAGACAAUGGGGGAAACCCUGAUCUAGCCACGCCGCGUGAGCGAUGAAGGCCUUAGGGUUGUAAAGCUCUUUCAGCUGGGAAGAUAAUGACGGUACCAGCAGAAGAAGCCCCGGCUAACUCCGUG
rnacentral:rRNA from 1 species